rnacentral:rRNA from 1 species
UACGGAGGAUGCGAGCGUUAUCCGGAUUUAUUGGGUUUAAAGGGUGCGCAGGCGGAGGUGCAAGUCAGCGGUCAAAUUGCGGGGCUCAACCCCGUACUGCCGUUGAAACUGGCAGUCUCGAGUUGGAGAGAAGUAUGCGGAAUGCGCGGUGUAGCGGUGAAAUGCAUAGAUAUCGCGCAGAACUCCGAUUGCGAAGGCAGCAUGCCGGCUCCACACUGACGCUGAGGCACGAAAGCGUGGGUAUCGAACAGG